AGCGCAGCCUGGUAGCGCACCGUCAUGGGGUGUCGGGGGUCGGAGGUUCGAAUCCUCUC
rnacentral:tRNA from 1 species